GAAGGAGGGAGAAGGACAAGUGCCUGCCCCUCGGCAGCGGCGGGGAAGGGGAAGGUUUCGAACGCGAGAAGGAGAGAAGGGGCAGGGGAGCGCGGCGGCCGGCGGUCUGGCGGCUGAAGAAGCGGAGGCCCUUCGUGGUGGAACAAAAGACAAGCCGCCGCCGGCAACAGCUCGAGCUCGGGCCCACGCUGCCGCGCAAAAACUCGUACCGACGCCGGGCUUCGCCGCCCCCAUCUCCGCGUCCCGCUCCUCGUGGGCGGCCUCCGCGAGCUACACCGAGGGGGCAGUGAGGAAGAUGCGACUGACGUCCCAAUCCUAAACGAUAACCUAACCACUGACGGCACUCGACUAUUGUAUAGUCCAGUGAUACUAGAGGGCAGGGAUAACUAGCUCCUACGAAACGAUCAAGACGGAAACGAGCCGGUAGGGUAACGUCCAACGGUGGUUACCCUUAUGUCGGUCACCUGACCAAAACGAACAGUCGCUGGUCUUGUUCUUGUUCAGUCAAGAUAGAUAUGUAUAAGUUGAAACCCCUACUAACCUCCGAGACACAAGUAUCAAAUAUACCCAGUAGAAAUAUAGACCCGGUACCACCGGCACUCUCGAAAAAUUGGAUGAGUCUUCUAGCUCGCUUCUCUUCGUUGACAGUCCCGAGUCCGACGACCUAACCAUCGAAUAUACCGUAAGACUAAUAUGAUAAUAAAACUUGGUCUUUUAACAGUUACUGAUGUAUAUAGAAACACCUUUGUUCAAAGUAGUGAAGAAGUGUCUGUGAAGAAGUACCGUAAGAAUCAGCCCUCGAACCAUUGUCGAAUUUGAAGUCUAGUGAACGACAUAUCCCAACAGUCGUCGUAUUAUUUCACGGGCUUCAAAUAAACGAUAAAAAGAAAUAUAACGUCCAUUCCGAGUUAUAUAGAAAGUCAUACGUUUAUUAAAGGUAACUACUGCUAAACAAAUUUUUGAAGGUAGAGCAAAAUUCUUAUAAAAAUAGGAUAUUAUACACAUUUCUCGAAUAGCUUUAGUCUCAUUAUCUGACAUAGCAUGGGUACUGUAAAUGUCGGACGAACCAUGACUUAUAACGUCCCUCUACGUGUCAUGUAUAUUUUGAUACAUUCUUUUGACAAAGAACGUGUAAAUCUGCCUAACACUAUAUUGAAUAUAUAAGGUAAAAUGACAUCAAAUCGUACGACAUGUUAGGACGAUAGGUACCUACUAACGCGGACAAAGAAAGUACGCCAGGUAAAAGGGAAGUCCUAUACAAAACUUUUGUACAAUAGUACAUCUAAACACGUCAGUACCAGUUGACCAUGUCUAUACAUAUCAAAGUUUUCUUGUAAUGUCUAUACAUAUCAAAGUUUUCUUGUCAUGCUGUUGAUUAAUAGCGACUGAACGUAGAGAGAAAAACAACACAACUAACGAAAACGGUUCAGUAAAACAGGAAAUGAUAUAAAUCAAUAAAUGGUUACGAAUUGUUAUGGUGAAAACGAACCGAUAUCAUCUAGAACGUCCAACAUACUAAGGAAAAUAUGAAGGUUUAAAAAUAAUCAAUGGUGAUAUAUGAAGGUUUAGAACAUGACUUGGACGAGUUAUCAUCUUGUCUCAAGUCAAUAGACUUAGUAUCGUCGUGUGUGUAUGUGGCGUCAAGCAUUACAGUAAAUGAUCCCCAACGCAAUCCCAUAAAAUAAAGGUAAUAUUUGACUAUUAUUAAUACUCAAAUCAUUCCAUUGUUAUUAGACCCAAUAUCGUCUUGUAAUCUACACCAUACGAACAUACUCAUCUUACAUCUCAAAUAUUUACUUGAUUUUAGACUCUCGUCCUUCACCAUCCAAAUUAAAGUCAAUCUUUUUAACCACAUGACGUCGUAGUAUAUAAGUCCAUUAGGGAACGUAAAAAAACGGUACAAGUUCGAAAUAUGUAGCAAACAUAUACGUAUUGUAUGCGUUGUAUUUGACCUCAAGCAUCACAGUCCUCAUUCUCCCCACGUUGAUUCAUCAUCGUACAAUGUCCUAUUCUUGCCAACAAAUCAAAUUGUUACGGGAAAUUGUCACAUUGAGGUUUCUCCAGCCUAUUUUACUUAAUAACUAUAUAGACUUGAGAUCUCAUAUUCUACGUAGAAGGAUGCGAAGGACUCUAGUGCCAAUAGCAUGGAUAAAUAAACUCUAUACGAUUCACAAGGAAACUAUCAUCUACGUUGAACGUCGAUAACACCUGCAAACAAACAAACACCCUUUAAAAUAGAGAAGGGAUGUCAGUUUCGAGUACACGUUAAACCUCUCUUUACGUGCGUACGAUAGCGACGUAAACUGUUAAGGAAAAUCCAUAGUUCGGUUAUCGCCGAAUGCAAAGGACCAGUAAAAAGAGAACCUUUACCUUCAACAACGAAGGAUCCACUCGACUCCGUGCCCUUACUCAAACGUGGAUGACAACCUAAGAAGGAAUGAUGGGUGGGCAGAGUCCACCAGCAAGCAUCUACCGUACGAGUUCUCCUUGUGUAGUAUAAUGUACACUUGUGACUAGAGAAACUUACCGGAAUGUACACCCGUGUUGUCGGACUUGAACUUAUCAUGUUAGAUAUUAACAUCGAUCGUGUAGUUGUUUGUCGGUACACUUUUGUAAUCAAACGACGGAAAUAACGUAAAAAACCUCGGUAUUAAGAAAAUAUCGUAAAGGAACGGAAAUAACGAAACUUUUUGUGGUAACUAGUAUUCGACUAACGCCGUCGUCCCAGCCUAUAAAUUCGUAUGGAUCCUAUAAAUAUAAAAUCAACCGUUUAUCAAUACGGUUAAAACACUAAAUAGAUAAAGAAAGUGGAAACCAGUAUUCGACUAAUGCCGUCGUCCGAGCUCGAACACACAAUUAGUCUUUUAAUUAAUUAGGCGAUGGCCACUCUUUACAGAGGCCACACCACGUUCAAUUAUAUAAGACAUGUGUAUUUACCAAUUGUAUCAGACAUGGACGGAGAACCCACUAAAACACUCAACACUAUCUAACGAGGACUACUACGGAGGAGAUGUCUAAAGAUCCUAAGUUCCAGGGGACUGGAACCGGUUCCUGAUACUGUACCUCACUGGAUAAUUACAACAACUGUGUAGAAGAGAUGUAAAUAGGACAUAUUCGAGAACACAGUAUGAAAUAAAUAUAUGUGUGUAUAUGGUACACGAAUACAACAAUACUUGUGAAGAGGUAUGUUAAACUAGAAUCUCAUGUACCGAUAUAGAACUAAUUUCUUAUAGUUCGUGAGGUUAUCAGUAUUAAUUCUGCAUGUAUAAAUUCAUGAGCUCGUCUACCUCAUAGAGUAAUGGAAGCGUCUACACUGGAGUUACAAUAAAGCGAAGGGUAGAAAAAUAACUGUCUCUACUAUAAAAUGUCCAUAUUCCUAAGUGAAGCUAACGUCAAAGGGAUGGGCUUCAAGUAGGUGCCGAUGACCUGACACAACAGAGGGAUGAAAAUACCAUCUCUUACCACACCGUGGCUACUAACUACCUCAUCCUAAAUUGGUUCGAACCACAAUGGUUCGAUGUGGGCAAUAGUGGACUUCAAUAGAGUGCGGUUCUCGCUCCUAGUUGUAACCUCAAUUUCCAGUAUCACCGUUGCGGCGAACCUGACGAAGACCUGAAGGUGCCACUGUGAUCCGACAAGGUUCCGGUUGAACUCGAGGAGGAACACUAGGCACACAGUGUUGUACGUUCGUUUAGUUUACUUCCUCACACCUGUUUCUGUUUCAAUAUAUAGUUCGUUUAGUCCACUUCCGCACACCUGUUUCAAUAUAUAGAUUACCAGUUGGUACAUCAAAUGAUGAUACCGGACGAAAACCAAAGAUAGUAUGGUUUGGAACGAAUCCAUAAAGUAACAGUGUAAAAUAUUGUUUACGCGCCUACCGUACAUCUAUCAGUAAAAAUAUAUAAAAUGCUCCAGUAAUGACAACACUCAUAGAUGGUAGUGGAUGGGAAACUCAUUAUAGUCUAUAUAAAGAU
rnacentral:rRNA from 1 species